GUUCUUAUCCAUACCGGUAGCCCUGGACAUACCUGAUCUUGUCUGAUCUCACAAGGCAAGCAAGGUUGGGACUGAUCAGUCCCCAGUACUUAGUAAUGGAAGGC
rnacentral:rRNA from 1 species